rnacentral:rRNA from 1 species
UGGGGAAUAUUGCACAAUGGGCGCAAGCCUGAUGCAGCCAUGCCGCGUGUGUGAAGAAGGCCUUCGGGUUGUAAAGCACUUUCAGCGGGGAGGAAGGCGGUGAGGUUAAUAACCUCAUCGAUUGACGUUACCCGCAGAAGAAGCACCGGCUAACUCCGUGCCAGCAGCCGCGGUAAUACGGAGGGUGCAAGCGUUAAUCGGAAUUACUGGGCGUAAAGCGCACGCCGGCGGUCUGUCAAGUCGGAUGUGAAAUCCCCGGGCUCAACCUGGGAACUGCAUUCGAAACUGGCAGGCUAGAGUCUUGUAGAGGGGGGUAGAAUUCCAGGUGUAGCGGUGAAAUGCGUAGAGAUCUGGAGGAAUACCGGUGGCGAAGGCGGCCCCCUGGACAAAGACUGACGCUCAGGUGCGAAAGCGUGGGGAGCAAACAGG